rnacentral:tRNA from 1 species
GGGCCGUUAGCUCAGUUGGUAGAGCAACUGACUCUUAAUCAGUUGGCCGUAGGUUCGAGCCCUACACGGCCCACCA